GACACUGCAGGGGGUUUCUGUUUUCCUCAGUCAGAUCAACCCUUUAGGAUCAUUGGAUCAUUGUCGGGGCUGCCAUGAGCUGGACAGCCUUGUUUUCCUACCUCAGACAUUU